rnacentral:tRNA from 1 species
AAGAGUGUUCUGAACAGAAAAAAGCUUCUAACUUUUUCCUAAGCAGUUAAACUCUGCUUACUCUUU